rnacentral:rRNA from 1 species
AGAACGAACGCUGGCGGCAUGCCUAAUACAUGCAAGUCGAACGAACACUUCGGUGUUAGUGGCGCACGGGUGCGUAACGCGUGGGAAUCUGCCCUUGGGUUCGGAAUAACAGUUGGAAACGACUGCUAAUACCGGAUGAUAUCGAAAGAUCAAAGAUUUAUCGCCAGGGAUGAGCCCGCGUAGGAUUAGCUAGUUGGUGAGGUAAAGGCUCACCAAGGCGACGAUCCGUUAGCUGGUCUGAGAGAUGAUACAGCCACACGUGGGACUAGAGACACGGCCCAGACCUCCCGACGGGAGGCAGCAGUAGGGAAUAUAGGACAAGUGGAGACAAGCCUGAAUCCAAG